UACAGAGGGUGCAAGCGUUAAUCGGAAUUACUGGGCGUAAAGGGCGCGUAGGCGGCGUGUCAAGUCAGGCGUGAAAGCCCCGGGCUCAACCUGGGAACCGCGCUUGAGACUGGCAUGCUCGAGUUCGGGAGAGGAUGGUGGAAUUCCCAGUGUAGAGGUGAAAUUCGUAGAUAUUCGCAAGAACACCAGUGGCGAAGGCGGCUCACUGGCCCGAUACUGACGCUGAGGCACGAAAGCGUGGGGAGCAAACAGG
rnacentral:rRNA from 1 species